UACGUAGGGGGCAAGCGUUAUCCGGAUUUACUGGGUGUAAAGGGAGCGUAGACGGUUGUAUAAGUCUGGAGUGAAAGCCCGGGGCCCAACCCCGGGACUGCUUUGGAAACUGUGUAACUUGAGUACAGGAGGGGCAGGCGGAAUUCCUGGUGUAGCGGUGAAAUGCGUAGAUAUCAGGAGGAACACCGGCGGCGAAGGCGACCUGCUAGAACAUAACUGACGCUGAUGCGCGAAAGCGUGGGGAGCAAACAGG
rnacentral:rRNA from 1 species